UACGUAGGGGGCAAGCGUUGUCCGGAAUUAUUGGGCGUAAAGAGCUCGUAGGCGGUCUGUCGCGUCAGCUGUGAAAACCUGGGGCUCAACCCCGGGCCUGCAGCCGAUACGGGCAGACUAGAAUUCGGUAGGGGAGACUGGAAUUCCUGGUGUAGCGGUGAAAUGCGCAGAUAUCAGGAGGAACACCGGUGGCGAAGGCGGGUCUCUGGGCCGAUAUUGACGCUGAGGAGCGAAAGCGUGGGGAGCAAACAGG
rnacentral:rRNA from 1 species